UUUACUGAGCUGACAGCUCUCCAAGGGUGCCUGGGCAGUGGUGAUGUCAGGGCGCUCUGUUUCCCUCACCACAUUGUCGGAGUUUCCCUGCCUGUCACUGUGGGCCCGAUUCUUUAAUUCCAUAAUCUAACUGAAAUGACACAAAUCUGGGCUCGCUUUUGGUAAAUCGGUUGCAAAGCUGAGUUUUGAUAGCAAAAAAAUUAAAUCUAGACAAGAUAACCUGCAGAACUCCACUUUUGUAGGAAGGCUGCACAUCCACAGCUGUCCUUGCAGUUAAGGGGAGGUGAAACUAAUUAAAAUUGCUUGGGGUUAUUGCCAGCAAAAUUACACAGAAACACUGUAUUCAUUAUUUAGUAAGCUUUGUAGUCUAAACUUUACCACAUAACCUCACCAUUAUAAAUCGUAGUACAUUCAAAGAGUCGCUAAAAGGGCUUGGGUUUUGCCAUAUGCUCGUUUCCCAUUCGUUUAUUUCUUGACUCAUGAAACUAUUUUUGUUUCACACUCCUAAAUUAAAAAUGAAUUGGCCCAAGGAUGUCAAUUGGAAGUUAAUGAUUAAAAAAAAACAACAACAACAGAGUAAGGCAAAUGUAUAAAGGCAGGACAAUGAAAGCUAUUGACAAAUUUAGCUCUUAAUCUUGGCAUGCUGUGUAGUAGCAAUACAGGAAAUCGUAACUACUUGCUGGCAUCGUUCACCCCACAUUUCUGCUUUACCAAAAUAGCAACAAUUUAUAAAAAAUGUAUGAGCCCAGAGCGUCCUGUCAAAAAUUCCUUAUAUGAUAAAUCAAAAUAAUAUCUAUGUAAUAUUUCUUAUCAGCUCAUGAAUAUGGGUUGUAUUAACUCUGUGUAUAGAACUUCAAUGCUCCAAAUUUGACAGCAGGGAGGUUUAAUUCUGCAGUAUAAAAUCAAUGUGCUUGUGCGUAUGCAACUUGUCAAUAUGUCCAGACAACAGUUUCUGACGUAAAGUUUUGACUGGAAAAUGUGUGGAAACUUAUUCUAUAUUUCCUUAUAAUUUUCUGGAAGAAUAACUGAUAUUCUAAAACUACUUUUAAUGCAUGCAUCCAUGCAUAUGUUUUCCCCUCUUUCCAGACUCUGUUUUGUUUUGCAGUAAACCCUCACCCUGCUUUACGGUUUUCCAUCUGGGAAACCAUAUGAAAUAACUGUGGUUCAAUAUUGAAUCGUCUUCUUUUUCUGCAAGCAACAUUUUCUGCCCAGUGACUGGUUUGACCAGGAUAACAACUGGGGGAGGAGGGGUAAACAAGUGGUGGAAAACUCACUGUUACCUUAUUUUCUUGUAGUUUUGGGUUUGGUUUAGUUUUGUUGGUUUUGAGAUGUUACUCAGGUUGAUCUAAAAACUGAGUGUAAAAAUGUUUUCUCCCAAGGAGAAAGAAGGGGGAAAGAAUUCUUAUUCUUCAUGUAUUCCCCAGUUAUAUGUUUUUUUCCCUUUGGUUUCUGGAUACUUGCCUGCGUUUAAAGUGUUGAUUAAAAAAUGACCAUAACAAGGCAACAGUCUGCUCUCCCUUACAGACAAAAUGAACUUGUUUCACUAGAGUAAACCUAAGAUGAAUUUACAGUGGCAUAAAUACUAGAAAUAAUGGUGAGUGCUCAGGCAGAAGCAGGAAAGUACUUCUCAUUGUUGUCAGCCUUUUUUAUGAUGAUUUCAGGGAGCAUUGGAUCAUUCCGUUUAUGUACCUCUGAGGAUAUAGACUUGUUUGUACAGAAAAUACCUUGCAUCUCACAUGAGCUGGUGAAGUCCUUACUCUCUCACUCUCUGGUGCUAAUGCUGAAGGAUGAGAGAAGAGCAGCAGACACAUGUUAUUUUUUCAGGUGAUUGAACAACUUGAGAUGAAAGACAUUUCACUUUUUGUUGGUGUUGUUAUUGUUGCAUUAGACUUCAUGACGUUUUUGUGGUUUAUUGCACUCACCUUUCUGGUGCCCUUCUGGGCCCUAAAGUCACCAGUGCCAGAUUUCCUUUAGCAGAAAGGGUUCGUGGUGAGCUACCCAAAUUCUUCACCAGGAGGAGUUCAGUCAUGGGGGUGGGCUCCCUUCCUCCAGUGCUGGGUUGACUUAGGGGGAUUAUCUUUGUAUCUCUCUAAACAGUCUGUUUGGCCACUCUUUCUUGUUGGUGAGCUAGUGAGUUACACAAUAGUCACUUUUAGGUUUUCUUAGACCUUUACCAUGUAUAAUUAAACCAUACCAUUGCAGAGUCAGCUUUAUCUGAAAAAAAGAGCAAGUCGACCAGUUGUUCCAAACCCUUUAGUAGUCAUAGCCAGAGUUCUCAGCUGCCUGAUCUACUGGUUUACAUCUUUGAUAGAGGUUUUGUUGUUGGGAUUCAUGCCAUUUCAUCUGUAAAAGACUGGCUCAGUAAGUAGUCUAGCAAAUUGUUAGGUGGCCAGAUAUGCUUGGCAAUUGUAACGAGCAGUUUUAGCUACCAAAGUAAUCCAAAGGGAUGAAAGUGAAUAGCCAGAGAAAUGCAGAGAAGACCUCUUAGAGUUUGAAGUUUGAAUCCAGAAACUCUCAGCAACAGGAGUGAAGAAAACAGAGGAGGAUGCUAGGUAGGGAAAGAACGAAUAAUGUAAUUUAUGGGUAGCCGAAUGACUGCCUGACAAGUGCAAAAGCAAGUUAGCAGAUUGUGGGAUGUUUUUAUGCAGAAAGGUCUGUCUUCGGGGAAGUGCAGCUCUGCCCACAACGAUUGCAUGGGAAACAGUGCCAGGGUGAAGGUAGGACUGUCAUCAGCAAAGAGGCACUAAACCAGUGAUCUGUGUAUGAAACAUAAAGAAAACUACAGUGCACAAAGCAGUGUGUUGCUUGAUGUACCACAAACGUCCAAAUGAAUCUUUGCCAGUGAGGUAAAUAUGUCCCUGAAAAGGCACAUGAUGGACUACUCUAAACUUUCUGUGAGAUAAUGCUAUCUUACUGUGAUGUGCAAGCUACCAAUAGGAAAUUUCUCUGUCACAGAUCAUAGAAUCAUAGAAUAGUUUAAGUUGGAAGGGAUCUUCAAAGGUCCUGUAGUCCCCCCCCUACCCUGCAAUGAGCAGGGACAUCAUGCAGGAACAGGCACCUAUCUUAGACCACCACAGUUCACACAAUGCAGCUUAUAGCACAUGUAGGUCAGGAAAUAUGCAGAUGUAUCCGAGAGAGUGGAGGACGUUCCAUAACGAAUAAUAUCCCCCAGUCAAGGAUGACUGUCCAUUCAGCAUGGGGAGUCUGAGGGUAAAACCAGCUUCAACAUCCCACUGUGCCAGCUAUGUCAGGAAAGAAGAGAGCAGUCCCACGUCGUGUAGCAUCAUGGGAGUCAAGUGAGGUGAUGGAGUCUGAGGGAAGCACUUUUGAAAUAAAGAACUGUUGAUUUAGAUUAACAAAGCUAAAAGACGACUUAAAGCUUUGGCAUGAGGAUCGCUGGUGACUGCUUCAUGUAAUGAACUUCCUACUGCAGUGAGAGGGUGAUGCUUUCCAAAGGGACACUUCAAGACUGGAAUGGACUUUUGGAGGAAACAAUGAUCUCCAUGAAUCUCUCUCCCUUUGUUUUGGUGUUAAACACAUUUUGAACUUCCAUGAUAAAUGUGAAGUCUGUAGUGUAAGUAAGUAAAAAAAAAGCAGCUCCUUUCUUUACUCCACUUUAGUUUCUCCUGUACAAGUACAAACAGUAUACUGUAAACACUGUUCCCCUGUAGGAAUAGAAAAGCGGAAAAAGAAGAUGAAGAGUCCUUAUUUGCAUCACUAGUGUAGUGCUAGUAGUUUAAUGUCAUCAUAAUGAAGGUAAUAUAACAUCCAUUUAGAACAGAGUAAAAGGACUGAAUAUCAGUAAAAGGAAAGCAUUAUUCCAAAUGAGAGAGAAAUUCAUGAGAAACAUCUUUUCAUCAUUUUAAAUAUACCCCAUUAAAUUAAUUUGAACAAGGUUGUCUACAUUCUGAAUAUGUUCAUAAAUGUUUUUACGCAUACCAAGCUGAACUAGGGCCUGAAAGAAAGAGAAGUGCCUUCCUAGACUCUCUGUGUAUAUGCAGCCAGAGCAGCAGAGUAUUCAUCAAAGCUGUAAGCAAAGUGCAUAACCAAAUAUUUAAUUCCUGGAACUGCAUCAUUUGUCUACAAAACUUUCAAAGCCUUGUGGAGAGGGCUUUUAUGUGGAGUGUCUUACUGUUGCUUUAGAGUAUGAUGAGCUAAAUUAAUUCAAGGAAUUUGUUACUGCUUGCAGUUUGCCUGUGAUGAGAUCGGGCUGCGUUUUCUUUUUGGAGCUUGGAUUUUAAUCUAUGUUAAUAUUCGCAUCAACAGGGUAAGUUAAUGAGGCCCAAGCUCAUUUUAUUAUCUUUUAUCUGACUGAAGCUCUAAGCUUCUGCCCUCACAGCCUGAGAUACGCACCCUGCAUGCUGGAUGAGGGAAGCAGCUUAUACUCAAGCAUUUGUAUUGCACAGACGUGAGUGCUCUGUGGUUGGUGUUCUCCAUAUGGGAAAGUUCAUUUUGUUUCUGUCUUGCUUGAAAACAAACAAACAAGAAAUCUGCAACAUGACCAUAUAAAAAAAAAAGGCAGAAAAUAAGGGGUAUGUAAGCAUGCCUGCAAGGUCUGAAACAGAGCUGGGGACACACUUUUUCUUUGUAGAACACAAUGAGUGGUUCGUGAUUGCUGACGUACACUGGGAAAAAAUAGAGAGCUUAUUUAAAAUAGGCACUUUUAAAAUUCUUGAAACUAUUUUUGUCACAUUUAGGACUCGUGAAGUGAGUGUUUGCUCCUAAUAAUUUCUCCAGUAAGGGCUGCCAGCCUUUUCAGAAGGAUUUGAACAUAUCAGAUGUGCCAGCAUUGGUAACAACUACACAAAGAACAAAGGGAGAGGCACAUGGAGUUAAGCUGGGAAAUAUUUGGAGCUAAUCUCUCUGGCUGCUGAAUGUCCUGUCAUCUCUGCCCACCUGCGAGCGCACAGGAUGCUGUAGCAAAGUCAAGCGGGUGCAGGAGGAUGAAGAUGUUUCACCUUCUUGGUAUAUUUAGAAUGACUCAGCCAGGAUGGUUUGUUAAAUUUUGGAAGGAGAGAAGAGAGUAAUAAGUUCUGCUGUACUGGGAUCAGGUUAGAAUGUAACAGAAAGAAAACUUCUCUUGAGAGGAAUCAAUGGACAUCUGAUGUGAUGGCUUCCAUGCCACGACAAAUCAACCUAAUGCUCAGCAGAGGGAUAUAUCUUUGGAUUUAUCAGUUUUCCAUUCCAAAUACUGGAAUUCUCUGCCACAGUCCAAUUCAAUAGAUGUCUUUAUAUGUCUUUCCACUCUCAUUACUCCCUAAUAGGAGUAAUUUUAUAUCAAAUGUCAGUAUCCUAAAAAGCACAAUGUGAUGGGAGUAUCAGCAGGCUAACACAAAGCAAGAAAAGGAAGGACUGUGGAUAAUUUGCAUGUGCUAGUCUGAAUUUUACAGUCAAUUCAUUCACCUUCAAAAGUCUGCAAGCCAUUUUUUUGUGGAGAUGAGGGCUGCUUCAAUAAGCAGUGAGCAAACAGGCCCCAGCAGGUGGAGAGUCAGGUUUGAUCCCAGGUUGUGGCAACCUGAAUCAGCUGCUCAAGGAUAACUGAGAGAUGACUUUGUCCAUGGUCAGUUAAACCUGGGAUACAUUUACUUGAUUUUGUUUUGAAAUUACUGUCAUUUGUUCCAGGGAAAUAUCUCUGAAAGUUUUGAACUGUAGCAAGUACUCUUCUUAUUGUUUAUGUGGAUUAUACUGGAACAACUCAUGUGUUUUCCACUUUGCUGAGCUUCACUCUUAUCAUGAGUUGCUUAUUUAAGUUCAAACAUCAGUUAAUUCUUAGGCAAAUAAAUUAACAGGUUUUAAAACUAAAAAAAAGGUAGUAAAUAUAGAAUAUUAGCUGGGUGGAGGGGGAGGGAAAAGACUGAAAGGUCCUCAAAUAAUGGGGGUACAUAUUAGAGAAAUAUUCCUUAUUACAACAGCAGUACAGAAGCUUUUCAUCUGUACUUUCCUCUUGAAGUUGUAGAGUCCCUAAUCUCAAAGACAGAUUCUGUGGAGGGCUCUGAAAACUGUAAAAUGUGUAUACAUACUUAGGGAGAAUAGUGAAAUAUGCCCUCUCCCCACACACUAAGGCAGUUUAGUUAAAAACAUGUUUCUCUGUGUGUAUAAGAACCAGUUUCUGUAAAAUUUUCCUAAGGAUUGCUAAUUUAGAAACUUCACGCUCUUGCAGCCUUCCAGUAGUAAUGAAAGCUUGGAAACAACGUAGGCUACCGGAGCAUUGAACUGAAUUUCAAACUUUGAGCCUACUAGAAGCUGAGGUCAAAAUCUGGAGGAAAGUUUCUCCCAUUUUAGUUACUAGCAACACCGAGGCAAUCAGUGAUGGUGUUGGCUUUGGUUCUGAAAAUUUUAACAGCUUCAUUUGCACAGCUAGCUUUGUGGGAUGGCAGCGACUAUCUUUUGCUGGGGUGCUUGUAUCUGAUCCUGAUGUCGAUGUCUCUUCUUCAGAAGCAGUUGCAGCUGAGUCCCUUGUUCAUUUGCAUCUUUAUGACUCUCAAGCCAUCUCCUAGUAUGUGUGUGUUGGUUGUUCUGGUGUUUUUUUCCCUUUUUCUCCCACUACUUCUGUUGCUUUACUCAAAUAGUGUCUUCCAAUGACCUAAGGAUGAGUCAAGUAAAAACAAAGAGGAUUUCUUUCCAGUUUUGAGAGUUGGGAUGAGUUGUGUGCCUUAUGGAAUUAACUUGAAGCCUUUAACCUUUAUCUCAUCACCCUCCGAUCGCAGCUCCAGUGUGAAGCUACUGUCCUUGCCCUCACUGUUAUUAUUAUGGCUCAUGUGCCCUCCCUCUGCCUGCCAUUCAUCAUGGUGAGAGUCAAUGUCUUUGGAAAUGUGACUGCCUUUAAGGUGAGCAACUAAGACUUUGCCCCCUUUUACCUUUGUUGAGGAAAAGCUGAUCUAUGCUCAGCAAUUGGCUUCUCUGUAGCAGGUCUUUUAGAGGCACCUACACCUGCAGGUGCCCCUCAGGGCAUGAUGGGCAGGUGGUCCUGGCACUUCUGCCUCACUUGGCUUUAUCUCCUGAACUGCCAGGAGUUGACUUUCAUCUCCACUGUAUUGUCUGUGGCUCUUUGCUUCAGAGGCAUCAGCUGUUAGGCACAGCUCUAGUAGGGGAUGAAGUGGAGGGUUUGUCAGGUUGGAGGAGCAGCGUUGUUCUCUGGGGUAGCAAGAGCUGUGCUGGUGUUGUGUUGUAUGGAGGUGUCUGAAGAAAUAGGAAGACAACAUUUCCCAGAAAGAGAUGUUCAUUUGCUGGAAGGGAAAGCUUUCUUCUUGCAAGGCUUGUGCUGGUUUGUGUCACCAGUUGAUAGCCUACUUAAUAAAUACAAACUAAUCAUUAUGUCAACUAGCUUAUUUGGUGAGGAUGUGAGGUUGCUCCCUCCUACAGAACAGGUGUCUCUGUCCAUCUGUCUGCUGGGAGGAGUUUCUGGUGUUUGGAAGCACUGAAGUACCCUUAGGACAGACUAGGAUCCACUCGGGUGACAGUGCAGCAGAACACACUUACUGUGUGAGUACAAAGCCAUGCACGUAUUUCCUGCCUUCUCGUUUCCAGUUUUUCAUUUCUGCUUCAUGCUCCUUUUUCCUUAGGUCUGGAUGAACAGGGCAUGUUCAGCUGUGCAGUCCCAGGGUUAUGCACUGUGUAACAGAGCAGUGGACCACUCUGUUCCAAGGAGAAUUAAUUCUAAGCUGGGAAUGGCUUGUGUGUGUAUACCCUUAGGAUGGGUUUUACUUUUAGAUGCUUGAAAAAUUCCCAAAGCAGGAGGCAUCAUGGAUGUCUCUGCUUUGGUCCUCAUGGUGUUUUCCAGGCCAUUAAUGCUGGGCUGCUUGCUCUUGCUCAGUGUCCCACCAGUGCUCUCUGCAACACACACAGUAUUUUCCAGUCAAACUGACUUGCCAGAAUGGACAACUUCACAUUUGUGAGUUGGUUUGCUACCAGUGGCAGCUCCCCUGCUCAAGCAGGUAUCCCACACUGCUGCCCGCAGUAGUAGGUAGGUGAGUGAUGUGAUCGCUAAAGCAGCUGCAGCUAUAGGUCAUAAAUUCAGUUGAUAUUUUUCUCAGCUUAAGCUAUACAUAGUGCACAUGGGUACAGGGCUCCUGCUGCAUAACCUUUUGUCAGGAGAUAAAAAUCCUCUGUUCUAGUCAAAGCCUGUGUUUGCUGGCUCAUGAAGAAGUUUGUCCUUUCUCCUUAAGCUCAAGGUCAUUUGAGUUCCUUUCUGCUGUGCUUCUGCUAGUGAGCCAGCGCAAAGGCUGCUUGCUGCUGGUACCUAUAGCUGGCACUCCCGUCUCCUGCUCCUGCCUUCAGAUCUGUUUCACCUCUACUGAAUUUAGCCUCUAAAAUUCAGUGAUUUGUUUAAAUGCUUGUGUGAUGCUUGGCUCUGAUGGUAUCGGCAGCAGCCACUUUCUUGGGGGUGGUGAAGGACAUGCACAGUGAUUGGAGAUGCCCCUUGUUUCUCCUCCUGCCUGCCCUUCACUCUGUCUCUUCAUUUGGCCCACAUCAGCACCUCAUCAUCAGGGGAACGGGCUUAAACAAGUUGCACUUUGCAAAGCUGGUGGCUCGAAAUGUCUUCAGGUACGAGAGGUCUGUGGCAACGCUGACAUGAUGGUAUUGCCUCCCAGGGGUUGCCUGUGCCAGCAGCUAAAUGUGGGCUCUGUCUCCUCCUCACCUCUUCCUACACAGCCGUAGACCCCCUAGUGCUCCUCUGCAAUGUCAUUUAGUGUGCAGUGAGAAGCGCUGUAGAGCACUGGCAGAAUGCUGACGGGCUCAAGAGGCAGAGAGCUCUUGACAGUGUGCUUGUGAAUAAAGAUCACGCGUAUUAAAGUAAUGGCCAGGUGAUCUUUUAAAAGAAAGAGAAAACUGAAAAAGUGCCUCUCCUGCUCUUCUUACAACCCUCAAUUUUUAUUAAUUAUUUGAAAGAAGUGCUGCAACAUUAGUAAUUUCACAUUAAUUCAAUAGCAAGCUUAUGAUUUUAUAGGAAGCGUAUUUGCUGUGACUGUGGAAACUCAACUGGUCAAAUAAACUUGCUCGCCUGACAUCUCCCUCUUAUUUUUUUUCUUGACCUCUUAAAGCAAUAUUUUGCUUUGUUCUGGUUUCCUAUUAUUCUUGAGCAACUCUAAGUUGCUCACAUUCUACCACAAUUUCUGCUUGAAUAUAGGUUUCACAAUAAAGUCAUUAUAGACUUUCUUUCCUUUCUUGAAUGAGCUUUGAUGUAUCUGUUUGAGUUUCUCCUGCCAUCUGGUAUUCUGCAUUGAGAUCCACAAGCCAUGCUGUUAACUCCUCACUAGUAUUUUCUCUUUUGCAUAUGUUUGGUGGGACUCCUAAGCUGCAUUAGAAAUCUUCAGAAAACACAUUUGUGAUGUUGGUUCUGAAUUCCCUCAUCUUGUGCUUUAUGUAAUUUUGUGCUGGCUUGAGGAUGCUCCUGUUGAAAAGCAAACAACUAAAAAUGUUCUUUCUUCUUGUUGGCUCAUUGCACUACAUUCCCACCCUCCUCCUGUUCUGCCACCCAGAAGAACCUGGUUUAGAACACAACAACUAGAAACUAGAUGGAGAGGUUUAGUGUUAGCCUUCACGAAACAAUUGGUGAUAAUUCCCAGAAACUUCUCAUUUGCUGAAGCAGAGAUUUUACUACAGAGCUAGAAGAUGGGCUCAGCUUCAGUAAUUUAUGUGAAAUAGUAAAAUCUUCCUUUUCCUCCUGAAUUCACACGCAUUGUGGUGCAAGAGAGAAUGGUGCAUGUAUUAAGUGUGGUUUGGAUGUAAAUGUUCAGCAUAGUUUUUCUAUUUUCCCAUUUCAAAAAUGGCUGAAAUUUCACUUAUGAGUAUUGCAGUAAUUGCAGUAAUUAUAUUUCAGAGCAGAAACUUUUCUAUUUUCUCUAGAUGUGAACCCUCCAACUACUAGGAUAUGUAUUUUGACUUUUUAUUACAAUGUGGUGUUGUAAUAGGAUUCUUCCUUCUCCAGGGAGACUUUUAUAUUUAUAUAUAUGUUUAUACACAAACACACACACACAGACACACACAAACAUAUUAAACAUGGUUUUGCUAUGGGAUGAGGGCACUGAGUCAAAAAAGCUAGGUUUUAUAUAUUUUAUUCAUAAAAACAGAUUUGCAACAAUUUAUUAAAAAUUGAUCUCAUGCAGUAUAAGGUUAUACAAGAAAUUCUUCAUUUACAUUUUAUUCUGGCAGUUCCAGUCUAGUUUAAAGCAUUUGUGCACUAACAUCAUUGGAAAAUGCCAUUGGGGCACAGCCUCUUCAUAAAUUUACAGUACAUUUUUGCUGCAGUAUAAAAGAACAGAAACAUUAAAUAGCUAUAUUCACUUGGUUGGUCUUGUUAUCUGCAGUAAAGUAAAAAAAAAUGUUAUGGGAGAAACUACAGUAUCAUUGAGACAAAGAAUGUACUGCAUGGUUUAAACCUAAUAAACGUCACACAGUCAGUAUUCACAGAGUUACAGACACACACACACAC